CUUUGCAGUACAGAAUUGGC
rnacentral:misc_RNA from 1 species